GACGUAGGGCGCGAGCGUUGUCCGGAUUUAUUGGGCGUAAAGAGCUCGUAGGCGGCUUGUCGCGUCGACUGUGAAAAUCCCGCGGCUCAACCGCGGGUCUGCAGUCGAUACGGGCAGGCUAGAGUUCGGUAGGGGGAGACUGGAAUUCCUGGUGUAGCGGUGAAAAUGCGCAGAUAUCAGGAGGAACACCGAUGGCGAAGGCAGGUCUCUGGGCCGAUACUGACGCUGAGGAGCGAAAAGCGUGGGGGAGCGAACAGG
rnacentral:rRNA from 1 species